rnacentral:rRNA from 1 species
CCUACGGGAGGCAGCAGUGAGGAAUAUUGGUCAAUGGGCGCGAGCCUGAACCAGCCAAGUCGCGUGAGGGAAGACGGUCCUAUGGAUUGUAAACCUCUUUUGUCGGGGAGCAAAAGACGCCACGCGUGGCGUUCCGAGAGUACCCGAAGAAAAAGCAUCGGCUAACUCCGUGCCAGCAGCCGCGGUAAUACGGAGGAUGCGAGCGUUAUCCGGAUUUAUUGGGUUUAAGGGGUGCGCAGGCGGAAGAUCAAGUCAGGGGUAAACUUGGGGGGCUCAACCUCUUAGAGCCGUUGAAACUGGUUUUCUUGAGUGGGUGAGAAGUAUGCGGAAUGCGUGGUGUAGCGGUGAAAUGCAGAGAUAUCACGCAGAACUCCGAUUGCGAAGGCAGCAUACCGGCGCUCAACUGACGCUGAUGCACGAAAGUGUGGUUAUCGAACAGGAUUAGAUACCCGGGUAGUC